GACGUAGGAGGCGAGCGUUAUCCGGAUUCACUGGGCGUAAAGCGCAUGUAGGCGGAUGUCUAAGUCGUGUGUUAAAGCCCCUGGCUCAACUGGGGGAGGUCAUGCGAGACUGGAUGACUUGAGGGCAACAGAGGCACGUGGAACUCCCGGUGUAGCGGUGGAAUGCGUAGAGAUCGGGAAGAACACCCGUGGCGAAGGCGGCGUGCUGGGUUGCAACUGACGCUCAGGAGCGAAAGCGUGGGGAGCGAUCCGG
rnacentral:rRNA from 1 species